CUCAAAGGAAUUGACGGGGGCCCGCACAAGCGGUGGAGCAUGUGGUUUAAUUCGACGCAACGCGCAGAACCUUACCAGCCCUUGACAUCCCGGUCGCGGACUCCAGAGAUGGAGUUCUUCAGUUCGGCUGGACCGGAGACAGGUGCUGCAUGGCUGUCGUCAGCUCGUGUCGUGAGAUGUUGGGUUAAGUCCCGCAACGAGCGCAACCCCCGUCCUUAGUUGCUACCAUUUAGUUGAGCACUCUAAGGAGACUGCCGGUGAUAAGCCGCGAGGAAGGUGGGGAUGACGUCAAGUCCUCAUGGCCCUUACGGGCUGGGCUACACACGUGCUACAAUGGCGGUGACAAUGGGACGCUAAGGGGCAACCCUUCGCAAAUCUCAAAAAGCCGUCUCAGUUCGGAUUGGGCUCUGCAACUCGAGCCCAUGAAGUUGGAAUCGCUAGUAAUCGUGGAUCAGCAUGCCACGGUGAAUACGUUCCCGGGCCUUGUACACACCGCCCGUCACACCAUGGGAGUUGGUUUUACCUGAAGACGGUGCGCUAACCCGCAAGGGAGGCAGCCGGCCACGGUAGGGUCAGCGACUGGGGUGAAGUCGUAACAA
rnacentral:rRNA from 1 species